AGGUCAUGAUGUAGACACUUGCCCAAUAAGUCAUUGUAUCUCUCCCACGCCUCACAUAAUGAUUCACCCUCAAAUUGGGCAAAGGUAGUAAUAUCAUUCCUUAAUUU